AUGGUUAUACAAAAAUACUAAAGAUCAGCUUACUUCACAGAAGAAAGUUGAGUAUUUUCAUCAAAGAAUCGUUCAUAAUUCCUUUGACUCAUAUUCUGCUUCUACGUACUGUAGAGCUGUUUUACUAUUUACAGUAACAUGAAACUGCCGAUACAAAUAUGUAUCACCCAUGUGCGAUUGAAACCAAUGUCCACUAGAGAGCAGAAGAGUAAAAGACUUGGACCGUAGAAAUAGAAGUGGACGGUUUUUACACGCUGAUAACUUCACUUGGCGAGAAUCAAGGCCAAGAUAAAAAAAAAAAAAAAAAAUCCUUCUUCAGACUGGCACAUUUGCCUGGUAUUUGCCCUUUGCUUUCACCCUCAAGCAGAAACGGAUUUGGGAUCAGGUCUUAGUUAUGAAG